rnacentral:rRNA from 1 species
AGAAAUUUAAGAGCGUAUGGUGGAUGCCUUGGCUAGAAAUAGCGAUGAAGGACGUGGCGUGGCGACGAUAUGCUUCGGGGAGGUGCUAAGCAACCUUUGAUCCGGAGAUUUCCGAAUGGGGAAACCCUCCGUGCUUGCACGGAACGUGCUUCGCACAAAAUUUUCAAUUUAAAAUUAAAACAUUGAAAAUUUUGCGCGGAGCGCGAGCACACCCUGGGAAGUAAAACAUUUCAGUACCAGGAGGAAAAUAAACUAAAAAGCAUUCCGUAAAUAGCGGCGAGCGAAAGCGGAGAAGCCCAAACUUAUUUUAACGCAAGUUAAAAUAAGGGUUGUAAGAUGUAAGUGUUGUAUUUAUACAAGGAAAGUCAAAAAAUUACUUGUUAGAAGAAGCUUCUGGAAAGAAGCACCCUAGAGGGUAAUAGUCCCGUAGUCGAAAACAAGUAAUCUUUCUUGCUUAUAUUCUUGAGUACCUCGAGACACGAAAAGCUCGGGGGAAUCUGCCGGAACUAACCGGUAAGGCUAAAUAUGUUUCUAGACCGAUAGUGAACUAGUACCGUGAGGGAAAGGUGAAAAGUAGCCCGUUGAGGGCGGUGAAAUAGACCUGAAACCAUAUGUUUACAAGGAGUAGAAGAGGGUGUAAAUCCUCGACUGCGUGCCUAUUGAAGAAUGAGCCAACGAGUUAAUUUAUGCGGUUGCUGAAGCGGUCGACCCGCGUUAGGCAAAGUGAAAGCGAGCGUUAAUAGCGCGAACUAAAAAUCGUAUAUAUUAGACCCGAAGCCAGGUGAGCUUGCCAUGGGCAGGGUGAAGUCUCGUGAAAGCGAGAUGGAGGCCCGAACCGGUUGGUCGUGCGAUUCCCUCGGAUGACCUGUGGUAAGGAGUGAAAAGCUAAUCGAACCUGGUAAUAGCUGGUUCUCUCCGAAAGAGCUUUUGGGUUCGCGUCACGUGUUCCUUAUAGGGGUAGAGCACUGGAAGGUUUGGACAGGGAGAAAUCUCGCCAAACCUAUCAAACUCCGAAUACUAUAAGUUAAAAACGUGGCAGUUAGACGGCGGGGGCUAAGCUCCGUUCGUCAAAAAGGAAACAGCCUAGAUCUCUAUUUAAGGUCCCUAAAUUAUAGCUAAGUGCACUUAAGGUGGUGAAAUUUCUCUAACAGUGAGGAUGUUGGCUUAGAAGCAGCCAUCAUUUAAAGAAAGCGUAACAGCUCACUCAUUUAGAGAUUUUGCGCCGAAGAUAAUCGGGGCUAAGCUAUGUACCGAAACUGAGGGUUUGUAGGCUUCAUCAAGGAAAAAUUUGGAGGAGAGUAAUAUUAGUAACGGUCGCGAAUGCAUUAUGUAACGACCCAAUUAUUCUUCUCCGCCAGAUUAUUAUGGAGAGGCGACUCAGUGAGUCACUCCAAGUUGUGCGAUUCGCUUUUAAAGAAUCGCAAAGUUGUGCGGAGCAGGUGAGUCAGUGACUCACCCCUCUCCAUAAUAAAGUUCUUUUUUUAGUUUAAAUUUUUCUGGGAUUUUUUUGAAAAAUCCCUCCUUGAUGAAGCUUACAAGCGGUAGGAGAGUAUUCUGUUCCGCUGUGAAGGUGAAGGGGUGACCCACACUGGAGCGUACAGAAGUAAAAAUGUUGGCACAAGUAACCACAAUGCACUUGAAAACAGUGCACGCCGAAAAACUAAGGUUUCCUUGGCGAUGUCAAUCAGCCAAGGGUUAGUCGGUCCUAAGGGAAUGGCGAUAGCCGCACCCGAUGGAUGGCAGGUUAAUAUUCCUGCACCUGUUUAUAUUUCGAUGGAGCGACGAAGUGUAGUAUGCAUUGCUCAUUAUUGGAUUUGAGUCGAUGUUGUCAGAAUGUUGCAUAGGCAAAUCCGUGCAACUAAGUUAAAUCUUAUAUUCAAGCAACAUAGGAACCUGGAGAUUCGUCAAAGGGGAUUUUGCAAAGCACAUUUCCAAGAAAAACUUCUAAGGUUAAAUAUAAACAGACCGUACCGUAAACCGACACAGGUAGUUGGGGCGAGAAGCCCAAGGCGAACGAGUGAGAUGUCCCCAAGGAACUCGGCAAAAAAGCGGCCGUACCCUCGGUAUAAGGCCUGCCUCUAGCAAUAGAGGCCGCAGCUAAAGAAUCCCUGGCGACUGUUUAUCAAAAACACAGCUCCCUGCGAACUCGUAAGAGGAUGUAUAGGGGGUGACACCUGACCAAUGCCAGAAGGUCAAACAACGGCGGUUCAUACCAUAAAUGAACGGAAUUUUUAUAAAAAAUUAUGAAAAUUGUUUUCAUUUAGGUGUGAGCUGACUGUUGUAAGCCCUGGUGAAUGUCGGCAAUAACUAUAAUUGUCCUAAGGUUUUGGAACUUUUUUGAAGGUUUCAAAAGGACUGGGACAAUUAUAAAGAUAAAUAGUUUAAUUAGACAUAAAAAAGACGAGAUAAAAAUAGUUAGUUACACAAAAAAGAUGCUACCUACAUUACAGUAAUGUGAUGUUAGUCCAAACAUGGUAAAUUAGUGCACCAACGCCAUGCAUCCCACUUUGAGAUAAUCAAAAGGAUGAAGAUAGAGUCCAACUUAGAGGAAUAGUUGAGCGAAAUUCCUUGUCUGGUAAGUUCAGACGCGCACGAAUGGUGUAACGACUGGGGAACUGUCUCGGGGACUCGCUCGGUGAAAAUACAAUACCGGUGAAGAUGCCGGUUACCUGCAGUUAGACGAAAAGACCCCGGAAGCUUUACUGCAACUUGGCAUUGAGGAUAUGUUUUUACUGCGUAGCAUAGGUGGGAGGAUUUGAGGAGUCGUUUUCGGAUGGCUCUGAUCCGUCAGUGAAAUACCACUCUGUAAUGACAUAUUUUCUAACCUCUCGUGCAAAACACGAAAGAGACAGUGUCUGGUGGGCAGUUUUAGUGGGGCGCUAUCCUCCUAAAGAGUAACGGAGGAGCCUAUUAAGGUCAGCUAGCCGUGAAUGGAAACCAUGGCGAUAGUGUAUAGGCACAAGCUGGCUUAACUGCAAGACGUACAUGUCGAGCAGAUGCGAAAGCAGAGCUAAGUGAACCGAUCAUUCGUAUUAGAUGCGGUGAAAGAUUAUCGGAUAAAAGCUACUCCGGGGAUAACAGGCUGGUACUGCCUAAGCGUCCAGAGCGACGGCAGUGUUCGGCACCUCGAUGUCGGCUCAUCUUAUCCCGGGGGUGGAGAAGCUCCCAAGGGUAUGGCUGUUCGCCAUUUAAAAAGAUACGCGAGCUGGGUUCAGACCGUUCUUUGGUCAAAUUUAUUUGACCAAAGAACAAUCUGAAUCCUCAGAGGUAAUGAAAUUAGAAACUGUUAUAAAACUUUUUGUUUUGUUAAAUGAUAAGUAGAUGCAAUCAGAUCACGGCGGUCUUGUGUAGUGAUACAUAAGAAUUAAGUGUGGCUAUAUCGGUAAAAUCCUAACAAGGGACAAUACCGAGGACUUGAAAAGGUCCGUAGAGACUACAGCUACACCAUCUCGUGUGAGAUGAACGUAUAGUCCAAUGCACGAAGUAAUUCGUGGUAACAUGCGUGAGACAGGUUGGUCUCCUAUCUACUGUAGGCGUUGAUUCUUGAGGGGAUUUGACUCUAGUACGAGAGGACCGAGUUGAACUGACCUCUGGUGUGCCUGCUGUUCUGCCAAGAGCAGCGCAGGGUAGCUAAGUCGGGUUUGGAUAACCUCUGAAAGCAUAUAAGAGGGAAGCCGGCCCCAAGAUGAGGAAUCGUUAUAGGAUCGUGAGAGAUGAUCACGUGAUAGGCGCUAGGUGUAAGGCAAGUGAUUGCUUAAGCCGAGGCGUACUAAUU